rnacentral:Y_RNA from 1 species
GGCUAAUCUAGUGCCGUGGUGUUUACAGCUAGUUGAUCUCAACUACUCACAGGUUUGUUUCUUCUCCACUCCCACUGUUUCACUUGACUAGCCUUAA